AGAAACCGAAAGGUCCUUUAGGAAGCGCCUGCAUACCCCGCCCCGCCCGUUGGUGGGGCUGAGCCGUUGCGCAUGCGUCAGGCCGUCCGAAGGUCCCGGCAUUCCCCGCGGCAGCUUUCGGUCUAGCGCGUUGGAAAAGAUGGGGUGGCUGGUGAGUGACACUUGUGAAGCUGACUUUUCCCGUCUGGAAGGCCCCGAGCUCUGCGGCCCCUCCCUGUAUCCUGCAGCUGUGGUCUUCCCUCCCGGGACGCGAAGACCCGAGUGGCUGUGUGCCGGGACCUCGCCCCUCUUGGGGGGUGUGGGGAGGAAGUGGCCGGCGCGCCACCCGUCUCCCUUCGGGGCACCCGUCCGCGCAUUUCCCCGUGGAGAGACCUUUGAAAGGUUCCGAGCUUCCUGCCCUUGCGAUGUACGGCGUUGAAGCACGCGUUCACUGAGGCCCUUCGGAAAAGCACUCAGACCCUCCUCUUGCCCUCCAAGAGCUCCUAAGCCGGUGAAGACAACCCACCAGAAAUGUCCUGGUCCGGUGAGGUGAUUCUGGAAGAUGAGUGUCCGCUUCAUUGACGGUGUUGUAUGCGGCUGCUAAAGAACUGGGUAUAGCAAAGAACGAGGAAAUACCAAGUAUUUCUUGAAGGAAUGAAUAAAUGAAUGUGCUCUCCAGUU